UACAGAGGUGGCAAGCGUUGUUCGGAAUUACUGGGCGUAAAGGGCGCGUAGGCGGUCUUGUAAGUCCCGUGUGAAAUCCCUCGGCUCAACUGAGGAACUGCACGGGAAACUGCUUGGCUUGAGUUCGGGAGAGGGAAGCGGAAUUCCGGGUGUAGCGGUGAAAUGCGUAGAUAUCCGGAGGAACACCGGUGGCGAAGGCGGCUUCCUGGACCGGUAUUGACGCUGAUGCGCGAAAGCCAGGGGAGCAAACGGG
rnacentral:rRNA from 1 species